GGAUCUUCUCAUAUAGGAACUUCUAACAAGGAAGCCUAAACUGGAGAGGGUUUUGUUGUUGUUGUUUAUUUAUUUAUUUAUUUAUUUUUCUGAUUAGAUUUUGAAGAGAUUGUUUUUCCUCCAGGGUAGCUCCUUCAAUUGUAAAGAAAACAAACUCUUGAAGUAUUUUGCUGAACCACCAUAUCGAUGAUUAGGGGAACUUGAAUUAUAAGAGAUUACCAGUUCUCAGUUCUCAGCAAACAAUAUCUGUUUCCAUUUCCAAAAGCUUGAAAAGCAUAGACGGACUUUAUUUCAGCUAACAGCAAAAACUGCAAGAACAGAACCCUUACAAAAUUAUUCUGAUCUCUUCUCUGGCUCAUCUUUUCAUGUGUCUGUUGGCCGUUUGUACAGCCUUCAUUUUUAUGCAGGAAUCAUGCAAGCAGCACUGACAUCGAGUUUAUGGAAGAGUUGCAGAAUGUAUACAAGAUCAGUGCUAAAGUCCAUGUGAUACUAGAGGAAAUCAGUUGGGGACAACAGUUACAAAAUAGGCUGGAUGAAUGAACAAUCUCCAGUGUUAGCUCACCAUGCAAAAUCCUCAAGACGGUGUGGACAUAGCCCUACCCUCCAGGAAAAGAGACCUCAAAAACCUUUUAUUGACACCAUGGGAUAUGCCAGUUGACCUUUCAAGUGAUUACAUCAGCUCUAUCUUUUCUAGAGUACAGAAUCCAGACCAGGAUCACAUGUUUCAUUUAGUCAUCAUUGUCUCUCUUGAUACAAGAACAGAUUUCUGAAUUUCCGUGGUCAUUAGUGGCAUUGACAAUUUUGAAGAAUAAAGGUCAGCUACUUUUAGAGUACUCAUCACUUUGGGUUUGUCUGAUAGUGUUGCAUCUGGAGAUGACAUCAAUUGGUUUUUGAAUUUCAAAUCAUCACUGCAUUUUGAGAAUAAGUGCAUUUUGGGAAUACCCGCAUUUGAUGUACUAGUAUAUAUUUAGCAUUUUCGUCUCUAUGUUCAUGAGAAAGACAAGCCUUAAUUUUUCUUUCUUGAAAUAUAUUUGUCAAGUUUUAGUGUUAAGCUUGGGUUGGCUAUAUUAAUGAGUUGUUUGCUAUUUUUCUAUAUUGUGGAAAAGUUUGUUUUCCAAGACUGAUGUUAUUUUAAAAUAUUUACUAGUAAGUCCAAUACGGGUCUGAGUUUUUGAGGAGUAAAUAAUUUAAUAAAAUAUACAAUCAAUUUAAUAGAAACAGGGCUUUAAGGUUUAUCUAUUUCUUUAAUUUUGUCAUUUGUGCUAAGUUUUUUUCUAGUAAUUUGUCCAUUUUCCCUUUUUUCUUUCUUUGCCCUGAAAUUGCUCAAAAUAUGCUUCUAAUUUAUUUUUAGUUUCUGUAGCCUCUUCAGUGAUAUCUUUUUAAAUUUUUCCUGAUAUUAAAAUUUUUAUAACUAAUAAUUAUUCUCUGUGUCUUAAGGUUUCUCAAUUUUAUUAUUUUUUCAAAGCUCUAAUUUUUAGUCUGUUGAUUUUAUCUUUAGCAUGUUUGUUUUCUAUUUUAUUGAUUUCCUCUCUUUAUAAUUUUCUUUUCAUUUAGUUUAGGUUUAAUUUUUUAAAAAUGUUUAAUAAACUUAUAUCACUUGUCUUCAG